rnacentral:rRNA from 1 species
CCCUGGGGGGGGAAGGUAACCGAAUUCGCCAAGGAGUUAAAAAGCUCAAAAGGGAAUUUGAACCGGGGGGCCUCUGCAACAAGUCGGGUGGAAGGCACUGCCGGGUUUUUAAUUUACGACUUGCUACCGCCGGAAAAAAACACUUUAACCCAACCCCCUUGAAACACUGGUUGGGUCCGCCGGGGUUCUCNGAGGAUGGAGAUCCUUUCCAGUUUCGGGCUGGACCACACACAGGUGUUGCAUGGCUGUCGUCAGCUCGUGUCGUGAGAUAUUGGGUUAAGUCCCGCAACGAGCGCGACCCUCAUCCUUAUUUGCCAGCGGUUAGGCCGGGAACUAUAAGGAAACUGCCGGUGAUAAGCCGGAGGAAGGUGGGGAUGAAGUCAAGUCAUCAUGGCCCUUACGGGUUGGGCUACACGCGUGCUACAAUGGUAUCUACAGAGGGAAGCACAUACGGCACACGUGGAGCGAAUCCUCAAAAGAUAUCUCAGUUCGGAUUGUUCUCUGCACACUCGAGCACAUGAAGCCGGAAUCGCUAG